rnacentral:rRNA from 1 species
AUUGAACGCUGGCGGCAUGCCUUACACAUGCAAGUCGAACGGCAGCACGGGUGCUUGCCCCUGGUGGCGAGUGGCGAACGGGUGAGUAAUACAUCGGAACAUGUCCUGUAGUGGGGGAGAGCCCGGCGAAAGCCGGAGUAAUACCGCAUACGAUCUACGGAGUACAGAGGGGGCCCUUCGGGCCUCGCGCUAUGGGGUUGGCCGAUGGCUGAUUAGCUAGUUGGUGGGGUAAAGGCCUACCAAGGCGACGAUCAGUAGCUGGUCUGAGAGGACGACCAGCCACACUGGGACUGAGACACGGCCCAGACUCCUACGGGAGGCAGCAGUGGGGAAUUUUGGACAAUGGGCGAAAGCCUGAUCCAGCAAUGCCGCGUGUGUGAAGAAGGCCUUCGGGUUGUAAAGCACUUUUGUCCGGAAAGAAAUCCUUGGCCCUAAUACGGUCGGGGGAUGACGGUACCGGAAGAAUAAGCACCGGCUAACUACGUG